GGCUCAGUUUCUGGUUUUGUUGCGGUAAGCUAAGCAUUCUUAUUGUAAAUAGAUUUAGAAAAUGCAUUUUUUGUGGACUUACAUUUAUGAUAUGCAGUGAUGCUAGCACAUAUUCUUUUAUUGAAAAACUUCUGAUUUUGUGAUAUUCCUCCUUCCCUGAAGUAUCUUCCAUCAAUUAAUGUUCCUUGUUUGAUUGCAAAUAGUAAACUCGACAUUCUCUGUGUUUUUGAUUCACUGUGCAGAAAUAUCAGCCGUAUGCCUCAGA
rnacentral:misc_RNA from 1 species